rnacentral:rRNA from 1 species
AGCGAACGCUGGCGGCAGGCCUAACACAUGCAAGUCGAACGAACCUUUCGGGGUUAGUGGCGGACGGGUGAGUAACACGUGGGAACGUGCCUUUAGGUUCGGAAUAACUCAGGGAAACUUGUGCUAAUACCGAAUGUGCCCUUCGGGGGAAAGAUUAAUCGCCUUUAGAGCGGCCCGCGUCUGCUUAGCUAGUUGGUUGAGGUAAUGGCUCACCAAGGCGACGAUCAGUAGCUGGUAUGAGAGGAUGAUCAGCCACAUUGGGACUGAGACACGGCCCAAACUCCUACGGGAGGCAGCAGUGGGGAAUCUUGCGCAAUGGGCGAAAGCCUGACGCAGCCAUGCCGCGUGAAUGAUGAAGGUCUUAGGAUUGUAAAAUUCUUUCACCGGGGACGAUAAUGACGGUACCCGGAGAAGAAGCCCCGGCUAACUUCGUG